rnacentral:misc_RNA from 1 species
GUAAAUGUAUAAAUAUGUCACGUAGUUAAAUUAAUCUAUGAAAGUAGCUAGAGAGGGUCUAAGAACAAAAGUAAUUUGCACGGGUACGAGUUCAAAAGGAAAAUAAUUUUCUCAAGAAACUUCAGAUUUGCUUGUUUUAUAAGGGGCUAAUCUAUGAAUAUAACUGCUCCUCCUGACAAUCCUACCACCAAUGAUUAAAAGAAGCUUGAAAUGGCUGACACACUGUACUUCAAUAUUCUCUUCUACUUACUGAUAGCUUUGAACGAAAUUAUUAUGCACCAUUACUUCGAAGAGUUUGUAUUCUUUUAUGAAGUAUCAAUGUCAUUAUUAUUAUUGUUGUUGUUAAAGAUUUAAGCCGCAUGUAAACUCGUACUAUCAUCUGAAACCUG